AUCGUAGUCCGGAUUGGAGUCUGCAACUCGACUCCAUGAAGUCGGAAUCGCUAGUAAUCGCGGAUCAGAAUGCCGCGGUGAAUACGUUCCCGGGCCUUGUACACACCGCCCGUCACACCAUGGGAGUUUGUUGCACCAGAAGUAGCUAGCCUAACUGCAAAGAGGGCGGUUACCACGGUGUGGCCGAUGACUGGGGUGAAGUCGUAACAAGGUAGCCGUAGGGGAACCUGCGGCUGGAUCACCUCCUUA
rnacentral:rRNA from 1 species